UUUCAGUAGGUGAACCUGCGGAAGGAUCAUUAUUGUAUAACCGAGGUGCGAGGGCAGUCGCUGACCCGAAAGGUCGUGCACGCCCGAGUGCCCUCACACACAUCCAUCUCACCCCUAUGUGCACCACCGCGUGGGUCCCCCUUUGGCUUGUUCGGAGGGGGGCUUACGUUUUCACACAAACUUUGUAUGCAGUGUAGAAUGUAUUUUUUGUUUUUGCGAUCACGCAAUCAAUACAACUUUCAACAACGGAUCUCUUGGCUCUC
rnacentral:misc_RNA from 1 species